rnacentral:rRNA from 1 species
CCUACGUGAGGCAGCAGUAGGGAAUAUUGCUCAAUGGGGGAAACCCUGAAGCAGCAACGCCGCGUGGAGGAUGAAGGUUUUCGGAUUGUAAACUCCUUUUGUUAGAGAAGAUCAUGACGGUAUCUAACGAAUAAGCACCUGCUAACUCCCUUCCAUCACGCGCGGUAAUACGGAGGGUGCAAGCGUUACUCGGAAUCACUGGGCGUAAGGAGCGCGUAGGCGGGAUAGCAAGUCAGAUGUGAAAUCCUAUGGCUUAACCAUAGAACUUAAUUUGAAACUGUUAUUAUAGAGUAUGGGAGAGGUAGGUGGAAGUAUGGGUGUAGGGGUAAAAUACGUAGAGAACAAGAGGAGUACUCAUGGCGAAGGCGACCGGCUAGAACAUAACUGACGCUGAUGCGCGAAAGCGUGGGGAGCAAACAGGAUUAGAUACCCGAGUAGUC